UGGCAGCUGAGCGGCCCGGGGGGCGGCGUGGGGAGUCGUAUUGCUGGGUUCUUCGCCUGCACUGGGGGUGCCAAGCUUCCGUAGAGGGUUUUAAAGCUCACGGAUGUUUCAGCUAGAGCUGCUGCAUUGAAUAUGCAAAUGAUGAAGCCCCUGGCUUGUAAUAAUGCUCUACAAAAAGAAGUCCUGGCUGCAAAGCAUAGGCUUGGUGCAAGAAAAGAAUGGUUCGUAAACUUGUUGCCUGAAAGAACACACAGGAAGGCACACAACUGAACCACUGGAUCAUUAAAAGGGAGAUCAUCUGCUUUAACGUGAAGCCUAAGAAGUGGAUACAAAAACAGAGUAUAAUAUACAAAUUUGCCUCAAAGCAAUAUAUGAUAUACACAUCUAAGUCUAGCAAAACAAGUUGUUUUCAUACUUUCCUAGCAAGAUGAGCCUCAGCCUACCUCGUAGACGAGAAUUCCUUCUGGGACGUUGCUUCAGCAACCGAAUUUUGCAGUCUGGGCGAACAUCUGUGACAGGAUAGCGCCUGAGUGGCUGCCGCUUUUGUUGCCGCCUACUAGAGAUGUUCUCAAGGCACCUAGUCUCCAUUGCCAAGAGAUAACCAAGGGUUUUGCAAUGCAGUUCAGGCUGGUCUUGAACUCAGUUU